rnacentral:rRNA from 1 species
GACGAACGCUGGCGGCGUGCUUAACACAUGCAAGUCGAACGGUAAGGCCCUUCGGGGUACACGAGUGGCGAACGGGUGAGUAACACGUGGGUGAUCUGCCCUGCACUUCGGGAUAAGCCUGGGAAACUGGGUCUAAUACCGGAUAGGACCACUGCCUGCAUGGGUGGUGGUGGAAAGCUUUUGCGGUGUGGGAUGGGCCCGCGGCCUAUCAGCUUGUUGGUGGGGCGAUGGCCUACCAAGGCGACGACGGGUAGCCGGCCUGAGAGGGUGACCGGCCACACUGGGACUGGGAUACGGCCCCGACUCCUACGGGAGGCAGCAGUGGGGAAUAUUGCACAAUGGGCGCAAGCCGGAUGCAGCGACGCCGCGUGAGGGAUGACGGCCUUCGGGUUGUAAACCUCUUUCAGCACCGACGAAGCGCAAGUGACGGUAGGCGCAGAAGAAGGACCGGCCAACUACGUGCCAGCCGCCGCCGUAA